GUCGGGAGUCUUGCACAAUGGGGGAAACCCUGAUGCAGCGACGUCGCGUGUGGGAUGAAGUAUUUCGGUAUGUAAACCACUUUUGCGGGGGGCGAAAAAAAUGACGGUACCCCGCGAAUAAGCCCCGGCUAACUACGUGCCAGCAGCCGCGGUAAUACGUAGGGGGCGAGCGUUGCUCGGAUUGACUGGGCGUAAAGCGCGCGUAGGCGGUCCAUUAAGUGUGCGGUGAAAUUCGGAGGCUCAACCUCCGGCCCGCCGCGCAAACUGAUGGUCUUGAGAUUGGGAGGGGGAUGCGGAAUUCCUGGUGUAGCGGUGAAAUGCAUUGAUAUCAGGAGGAACACCGGCGGCGAAAGCGGCAUCCUGGCUUAUAUCUGACGCUGAGGCGCGAAAGCGUGGGUAGCAAACGGGAUUAGAUACCCUGGUAGUCC
rnacentral:rRNA from 1 species